rnacentral:rRNA from 1 species
UUUGGUGACAGCGGAGGGACAUUACCGAGUUAUACAACUCAUCAACCCUGUGAACAUACCUAAAACGUUGCUUCGGCGGGAACAGACGGCCCUGUAACAACGGGCCGCCCCCGCCAGAGGACCCCUAACUCUGUUUUUAUAAUGUUUUUCUGAGUAAACAAGCAAAUAAAUUAAAACUUUCAACAACGGAUCUCUUGGCUCUGGCAUCGAUGAAGAACGCAGCGAAAUGCGAUAAGUAAUGUGAAUUGCAGAAUUCAGUGAAUCAUCGAAUCUUUGAACGCACAUUGCGCCCGCCAGUAUUCUGGCGGGCAUGCCUGUUCGAGCGUCAUUACAACCCUCAGGCCCCCGGGCCUGGCGUUGGGGAUCGGCGGAAGCCCCCUGUGGGCACACGCCGUCCCUCAAAUACAGUGGCGGUCCCGCCGCAGCUUCCAUUGCGUAGUAGCUAACACCUCGCAACUGGAGAGCGGCGCGGCCAUGCCGUAAAACACCCAACUUCUGAAUGUUGACCUCGAAUCAGGUAGGAAUACCCGCUGAACUUAAGCAUAUC